AGAGUUUGAUCAUGGCUCAGAUUGAACGCUGGCGGCGUGCCUAACACAUGCAAGUCGAGCGGUAACAGGUGUAGCAAUACAUGCUGACGAGCGGCGAACGGGUGAGUAAUGCUUUGGAAUCUUCCCAGUAGUGGGGAAUAACCAGUCGAAAGAUUGGCUAAUACCGCAUACGUCUGUAAAGGGAAAGCGGGGGCUCGUAAGACCUCGCGCUAUUGGAUGAGCCAAAGUCGGAUUAGCUAGUUGGUGGGGUAAUGGCCUACCAAGGCGACAAUCCGUAGCUGGUCUGAGAGGACGACCAGCCACACCGGAACUGAGACACGGUCCGGACUCCUACGGGAGGCAGCAGUGGGGAAUAUUGGACAAUGGGGGAAACCCUGAUCCAGCGACGCCGCGUGUGUGAAGAAGGCCUGCGGGUUGUAAAGCACUUUUAGUGGGGACAAAAAGCUACGGACUAACACUUCGUGGUCUUGAUUUAACCCAAAGAAAAAGCACCGGCUAACUCUGUGCCAGCAGCCGCGGUAAUACAGAGGGUGCGAGCGUUAAUCGGAAUUACUGGGCGUAAAGCGCGCGUAGACGGUUUUGUAAGUCAGAUGUGAAAUCCCUGGGCUCAACCUGGGAACUGCAUUUGAAACUGCAUGGCUAGAGUAUGGAAGAGGGAAGUGGAAUUUCCGGUGUAGCGGUGAAAUGCGUAGAUAUCGGAAGGAACACCAGUGGCGAAAGCGACUUCCUGGUCCAAUACUGACGUUCAUGUGCGAAAGCGUGGGGAGCAAACAGGAUUAGAUACCCUAGUAGUCC
rnacentral:rRNA from 1 species